rnacentral:tRNA from 1 species
GAAGAGGUAGCUCAAUGAGCCACGUACGUGGCCCGGUAGAGCAGUUGGCACACAUUAUCCGACUCGUUCCUGGUUCGAAUCCAGGUCUCUUCC